AUUGAACGCUAGCGGGAUGCCUUACACAUGCAAGUCGAACGGAGAGGCGAACGGGUGAGUAAUGUAUCGGAACGUGCCCGGUAGCGGGGGAUAAAUACGCGAAAGCGUAGCUAAUACCACAUACUAUUGGAGCGGCCGCUGUCGGAUUAGCUAGUUGGUGGGGUAACGGCUUACCAAGGCGACGAUCCGUAGCUGGUUUGAGAGGACGACCAGCCACACUGGGACUGAGACACGGCCCAGACUCCUACGGGAGGCAGCAGUGGGGAAUUUUGGACAAUGGGGGAAAUCCUGAUCCAGCCAUCCCGCGUGUGCGAUGAAGGUCUUCGGGUUGUAAAGCACUGUUGGCAGGAAAGCGGUACCUGCAGAAUAAGCACCGGCUAACUACGUGCCAGCAGCCGCGGUAAUUC
rnacentral:rRNA from 1 species